rnacentral:ribozyme from 1 species
GCUGCUCGUAAUAAUCACACACCUCCUCGUGGUGAGCAGCAGGCAACGCUGAUAUAAGCGGCUAAGAUGUGAUG